UGGAGAUGUCUUUCAAUCCAGCUUCUCACUGCCGCCUGUAAGAGAGAAUUUUCAGGAUUGGAGAGUUCGAUCACAAGGUACAAACCAGCGAUUGCUGCCAGGCGCCGAGAAUGCGCUUCCGUGAUCGCCAUAAAGACCUUAUUAGGGUUCUUCCAAGAAUUCUCACGUGUGUUCGCCCCGAUUCAGCACGCGACUGGCAAAGGCGAGAGAAGUCCUUUCCGAGUUUUCGAUUCUGAUGGGUAUGAUUCUGAUGGGGCAGAGGAGGCCGAGAGCGAUGAAUUCUACGAGCUAACUCCGGAAGGUUAUGCUCGAUUGGUGUCCAAGAAAAGAGAAGGUCGGCAGGUUCGAUCGUGUUGGUUUCUUCCAUAUGAUCUUUCACUCAAAGUUUCCUUUUUUUUGUUUUCCUUCCAGAGAGAUUCUUGAAGACAGCAAAAAGCCGUGACGCUGAGGCAGCAGCUCGUAGAUCCAAGUUUUCUAAGUUCCUGGAUAGCAUCAUCGUUGAGGCCGAUUUUCGUCCUCUAGAUCUGGUUGUGGAGCUUGUUACAAUGCUGGAAAAAUUGCUACUAAAGCCAGAGAUCUGUGUAAGUUCUCCUUCAAAAACUCUUUUUUUUUUGUUCUAGUUCGCAGAUGGUCUUCUGGAUCUCAUUGCUCUCCGGGACUCAAGUUCAUUGGCCUGCUUACGAGCAUACAGCGGUGGAAUGCAAGUAUCCCAUGUAUGUCUCACUCGAAGCUUUGUUUGAUCUUUGAUGCAUAUAUCGGUGCAAGUGUUCCUAGUGGAAGAGUGUUCCAAGGAGGAUACAUUGACGUUGAUGGUGAUGUAAUCGAUCAUGAAGGAACUGUCAACGUGAGUUCAUUUUCGUUUUUUUUGUUCAUGCUAGCUGCAAAUGCUAUCAGCAACCAACAUUAUCAACAUGUAUGCCUGAAUUAUCAACAGGCAUAUGAUCAGUGUA